UACGAAGGGGGCUAGCGUUGCUCGGAAUCACUGGGCGUAAAGGGUGCGUAGGCGGGUCUUUAAGUCAGGGGUGAAAUCCUGGAGCUCAACUCCAGAACUGCCUUUGAUACUGAGGAUCUUGAGUACGGGAGAGGUGAGUGGAACUGCGAGUGUAGAGGUGAAAUUCGUAGAUAUUCGCAAGAACACCAGUGGCGAAGGCGGCUCACUGGCCCGUAACUGACGCUGAGGCACGGAAGCGUGGGGAGCAAACAGG
rnacentral:rRNA from 1 species